GGGGAUUGCCUAGUACGGCGAGUGAAGCGGCAACAGCUCAAAUUUGAAAGCUAGCCUUCGGGUUCGCAUUGUAAUUUGUAGAGGAUGAUUUGGGGAAGCCGCCUGUCUAAGUUCCUUGGAACAGGACGUCAUAGAGGGUGAGAAUCCCGUAUGUGACAGGAAAUGGCACCCUAUGUAAAUCUCCUUCGACGAGUCGAGUUGUUUGGGAAUGCAGCUCUAAAUGGGAGGUAAAUUUCUUCUAAAGCUAAAUAUUGGCGAGAGACCGAUAGCGCACAAGUAGAGUGAUCGAAAGAUGAAAAGCACUUUGGAAAGAGAGUUAAAAAGCACGUGAAAUUGUUGAAAGGGAAGCGCUUGCAAUCAGACUUGUUUAAACUGUUCGGCCGGUCUUCUGACCGGUUUACUCAGUUUGGACAGGCCAGCAUCAGUUUCGGCGGCCGGAUAAAGGCUCUGGGAAUGUGGCCUCCACUUCGGUGGAGGUGUUAUAGCCCAGGGUGUAAUACGGCCAGCCGGGACUGAGGUCCGCGCUUCGGCUAGGAUGCUGGCGUAAUGGUUGUAAGCGACCCGUCUUGAAACACGGACCAAAC
rnacentral:rRNA from 1 species